rnacentral:rRNA from 1 species
AUGGCGGAGGGUGUUGUUGGGCUGGUGGUGGCGACGCUCGGCGCGGCGCUGGCAACAGAGGCGGCGACCUUCGGCUGGUCGCUGCUACGCAAGGAAGCCGCCGCCAUCAGGGACGUCUUUGGCAAGAUCCGCCAGUCCAAGGCGGAGCUGGAGAGCAUGCAGGCCUACCUGCACAAGGCGGAGCGGUUCAAGGACACCGACAGGACCACCGACAUCUUUGUUGGCGAGAUCAGGGGCCUCGCCUUCCAGAUCGAGGACGUCGUCGACGAGUUCACCUACAAGCUGGAGGACUGCAAGCAUGGAGGGUUCACCGGCAAGAUCAGAAGUAAAGUUACCACAGUAUGGGGAAUGCCUGGUGUUGGUAAAACCACUCUGGUUGCUCAUGUGUACAACAUGUUGAAAUUGGAUUUUGAUGCCGCAGCGUGGGUAACCAUGUUGAAGAGUUACUGCCUCAAAGAACGGCUGAAGAAGAUAGCCGCCGAGUUCGGCAUCGCAGUUGAUGUGGCCACCAGUGAGAUGAGAGGCCUAGCAGAGUCCAUCCAUAACUACCUUCAAGGUGAAAAUUUCAUCGUGGUCCUGGAUGAUGUUUGGACUCCGCUUGUGUGGUCAGAGAUAAGGAAUGUCUUUCCAACAUCUAAUUGUACCGGCCGAUUUGUUAUCACAUCAAGAAAGCAUGAAGUGUCACUGUUAGCAACUAGGGAGUCUGCAAUUCACUUGGAACCGCUACAAGCAUAUCAGUCCUGGCUGUUGUUCUGCAAAGAGGCCUUUUGGAAUAAUGAUGACAAAGAGUGCCCAUUGGAGUUGCAAGAAUUGGCCCGGAAGUUAGUAGCAAAGUGUCAAGGCUUGCCUAUUGCAAUUGCAUGCAUUGGCCGCCUACUCUCCUGGAAACAACCAACUUUUGCUGAAUGGGAGGAUGUGUAUAGGGGUUUGGAUUCGCAGUUCAUGAAAGAUGUGAUCCCUGAUGCUCAUAUGAUCCUAAAGGUCAGCUUGGAGGACCUUUUGUAUGAUAAGAAGAAUUGUUUCUUACAUUGUGCAUUAUGCCCAGAAGAUCAUGUAUUAAAGAGGAGGAAGGUAAUGAGGCAGUGGAUUACGGCGGGGUUUAUCAGGGAAAAGGAAGAGAACAAAACAUUGGAGGAAGUGGCAGAGGGCUACUUAGCCGAGCUUGUGAAUCGAAGUCUACUGCAGGUAGUGAAGAGGAAUCAUGACGGGCGACUGAAACACUGCCGGAUGCAUGAUGUCAUACGCCUACUUGCCCUCAACAAAGCCAAGGAAGAAUGCUUUGGAAAAUUUUAUAAUAGCUCUGCUUCUGGGGCACUCUCUGUAGAGGGUGCACGUCGCAUAUCUGUUCAGGGUGAAAACAUUGAACAACUGAGCCGUUCUGGUGCAACACAUCUCUGUGUGCUCCAUGUGUUAGGGAGGUGUAUCAAUGUUGAUUUUCUGAAGCCUAUUCUAACAUCUUCGAAAUUUUUGUCGACCCUUGAUCUGGAAGGUACUCAUAUCAAAAUGCUGCCCAAUGAAGUAUUCGACUUGUUUAACCUGCGUUAUUUGGGUCUUAGAGAUACCAAGAUUGAAAGCCUGCCUGAAGCAGUUGGGAGGUUACAAAACUUGGAAGUCUUGGAUGCUUGUGAAUCUAAGCUGGCGUAUUUGCCAAACAAUGUUGUUAAACUACAAAAGUUGAGAUACCUGUAUGCGUUUACUCCUGGUUCACCAGUAAAUGAAACUGGAGAUGGAGUCAAGGUGCCUAUUGGCAUACAGCACAUGACAGCACUGCACUCUCUCCAGUGCAUCAAAGCCACUCCAGAGUUUCUGUGUGAAGUUGGAUCUUUGAUAGAGCUAAGAACACUCAGUGUCUGCAACAUUAGAAGCGAACACUCUGCUGGCUUGAGCAACGCUAUUACCAAAAUGAGCCAUCUUGUUCAUCUUGAAAUUAUCGCUGCAGCUGAGAGUGACGUGCUGCAGCUGGAUGGGCUACGUUUACCUCCAACCCUUUCUUGGCUUUGUUUAGGAGGGCGGCUAGAGAAAAUAUCGAUGCCUCAGCUUUUCUCUUCCUGGUCACACCUUAAUGGCCUGACUCGGUUGCAGCUGGGAUUCUCUAAUAUUGAUGAGCAGACCUUUUCCUGUCUCUUCGUUUACAUGGUCUACGCUCUCUUGGGCUAA